UUUGAGGAAGAUUAGCCCUGAGCUAACAUCCACUGUCAAUCCUCCUCUUUUUGCUGAGGAAGAUUGGCCCUGAGCUAACAUCUGUGCCCACCUUCCUCUAUUUUAUAUGUGGGCCACCUGCCACAGCAUGGUUUGACAAGCGAUGCAUAAGUCCGCACCCGGGAUUCAAACCAGUGAACCCCGGGCCACCAAAGUGGAAUGUGUGAACUUAACCACUGCACCACUGGGCUGGCCACAUGGCUCAUUUUUAGAUGGUCCUGGUAUUUCGUAACUCAUGCUAAGUCCAUGGAUGAACUCUAUAUUCUACUACAGUGUUUGUAAUUGUGCAGCUCUAUUUACCUAAAAAUAUCUAGAAUGCUGCUCUUCAGAAAGCAGCUACUGCAUUCGUCAGAGGACAGUCUUGGCCUCAGAAGCGGACACUGCUUGGCACUUCAUAGACUUUUCAGCCACACUUGAACCCACAGGUCAUGAUGUGUCAUCGGCCCUCCUGUACAUAGAUGUAUAUUCUAGUUGUGAGUGCCUCUGGUUGUGCUAUGUGGGACGCCGCCUCAGCAUGGCCUGAUGAGCAGUGCCAUGUCUGCACCCAGGAUCCAAACCGGCAAAACCCUGGACCGCUGAAGCGGAGCGUGCAAACUUAUCCACUCGGCCACAGGGCUGGACCCCGUAUUUGGCAGAAGAAGCAAGCAAGAUGAUAAGAAGAGCCUGGCCUGUUAUGGAAACUGCAAACACAGAAUUUGAGAAGGCUUGUGCAUGGGGUGUGUGCUGGGAAAUAGCUCAAGAUGAAGCUGGAAAGAGAUUGCACAGUUAGCAGAAUUAAUAGAUUUAGUAUUCUUUGUAUGCAGCCAACAUAUAUUUACUUCUUGCUGCACCAUCCAACUUUUUUUCCUGAAGCUGAAGUUAUGGGUUGGUUUCCACGAACCUGACUCGCCUUUACUCCAUUCCCUGGCUACACAGACUGCAAAUUAUGCUGCCUCUCACAUGAAGAUUGAGUAAGGGGCAGAGAAGACAGACCUGUUAAAACCCAUCCCACUGGGAACAAAGCAACUCAAAAGGCACCACUUCCAAGAGGGCCGGUGGCAUCAACCAGAAAGGGAGCACAUCCUUAGUACAUGUUUCUGCGAUGGUGAAAGUAGCCUUCCUUGGUUCAACAACAGAAGCAACAAAAAGAAAUAAGAAGACAUGCAGCUGAAGGGUUUUGAUUAGAUUUGAGGAACAGUUUUCUCCUCAAAGAAGCUGUUUGAUAUUGAUAUCAGUUAUGCCGAAGAAUAUUCUUCUCCGGAGAUUUUUUGGGGGAUUGUGAUAAAAUAUACAUAAAAUAAAAUUUACCAUUUUUAAGGGUACAGAUCUGUAGCACUAAGUACAUUUACAUUGUUGUGUAACCAUCACCUCACCACCAUCCAUCUCUAGAAGGUUUUUAUCAUCCCAGACUGAAACUCUGUACCCAUUAAACAAAAUCUCUCUGUUCCCCUCUCCCUCCAGCAUCUGGUAACCACUAUUCUUCUUUCUGUCUCCAUGAAUUUGACUACUCUAGGUACCUCAUAUAAGUAGAAUCAUACAAG
rnacentral:lncRNA from 1 species